rnacentral:sRNA from 2 species
CCAACAUCUACGCUUGAAUGGGAGUUUGGAAAGAAUAUUCUUCCCCCCCCCUUCUACAUCCGCCAGUGGAAUCAAUCAAAGACUUUCAUCCAAUUUGCUUAGGGAUGGGGCGGCUUCUCCCCUCCCAGACAGACUGCUGCUUGCUGCUCUUUUAAGUUUCAUUUCUCAGUUCUGUCCGGGAACCGCUCGCUUGCCCGGAUCCAUAUUCACUAUAUAUUAUUACUAUUACCAUUAUUACUUAUUACUGUUAUUACAGGAAGUUAGAGGAAAAAAGGGUACAAAAAGGGGGUCACCAUUGCUG